AGCUCCAAUAGCGUAUAUUAAAGUUGUUGCAGUUAAAAAGCUCGUAGUUGAAAUACUGAUUUAGUCGACCGGUCCCGUGCUUUGUCGCGGGCACUCGUGUCGAGCUAGAUCAUUCUUGGUGAUAACCGAUCUGGCAUUAGGUUGUUGGAUUUUUGGUGAAGACCAUCGUUUACUGUGAAAAAAUUAGAGUGUUCAAAGCAGACUUAUGUCGUUGAAUAUAUUAGCAUGGAAUAAUAAUAUAGGACUUUUGUACUAUUUUGUUGGUUAGGUGUGAAAGUAAUGAUCAACAGGGACAGUCGGGCAUAUUUGUAUUUCGUUGCUAGAGGUGAAAUUCUUGGAUUUCCGAAAGACAAACUACUGCGAAAGCAUCUAUGAAGGAUGUUUUCAUUA
rnacentral:rRNA from 1 species